CGGAGCGUAGCGCAGCCUGGUAGCGCACCUGCUUUGGGAGCAGGGGGUCGAUGGUUCGAAUCCAUUCGCUCCGACCA
rnacentral:tRNA from 1 species